AGAGAAAUAGCCAGCACCACCCCCCAGCGCAGAGCCGGGGCGCGGGGCCUCGGGUCGCCCCCUCCGGCUCCUCUGACCCGAGACUCGCCAGGUCUUGGACAUCCUCAGCCUGCGACACCGUUCCCAGGACGGCUCAUCACCUAUUAUCUCGGACUCCAGAUUUUGUGCCUGAACAGGAACCAUUAGAGAAGAAGGCGACCCCUCUAAUAACCCCUAUAAUAACAGGGCCCGGCUGCUGGGCAUUGUCAACAGGGAAAUAACUCGGUCGCUGCUUUUCUGGCGAAGACGUGCCAUAGCCUGGGAUAGUAGCCUGGGGUCACAGGGCCACACCGAAAGCCCUCAUCUCUCUCUACCUUCUCUCUGCAGAAAAAGCGUGAGGCUGCUCCUCAUUGACACCCACUUAGAAGUUGGUUGAUGAAGACUGCAGUGAGCACUCUCAGCAAGGGUAAAACUGGCACAUUUGGGCCUGAAAUGGGGUCCUCGGGGCCUGGUAGGCUCAAGUAUGCCCUUGGUAAUUUCCAGCUUACAGAGAAAAGAAGAGCGUUCACUUUGUUUCUGCUGGCAGGGUGAAAAGGGGCAGCUACGUGGCCAAAGGUUACACGUUUUCCCUCACUGCGAACUGUCAGCCUUAUUCCGAGUAUAGCCACCACUGACUUCUGACCCUGGACGGUGUCAUUCACCGGGAACUCUUAACGUCUCCGGCCGAGAAAGGAGGGGACGGUAGCUAACUCUUUCGGCGGAGCUGAACCCCUACCCCCUCCCUCCUGUGACCCGAGCCUACUGCGAGACCUGGACACCGCCAAGUGGGGCAACGUUUCGCUCUUACAGCAGCUUCCCGACCUC
rnacentral:lncRNA from 1 species